AAGGCUGACAGCAAAAGUCUCCUAAAAGCCUGGCAGCACAGAAUGCCUGCCAGAUGCGGAACCAGGCCUGGCAACCUGCAGCAUCCUUAAGGAUGGGACUUAAGGAAGCUCCUUCAGGAAGGACCUCAAGAGGUCCCUUCCUUCCCAUCCCUUCCGUGAGCCUCCUUCUGAGUCAAAAACAGGCCCUUCUUGUACUACGGACACAGAAGAUGGCGUAGGACGCCACCACUUCACAUAACCUAUGAGGCGCUGCUCAUUUCCAUCGUCUUUCUGAAACAGCCAUGAGCUACCUGCUUGCUGUGAUCUUCAGAAGAGCAAUCCCAAGCUUCUUUACCUCUCUGGAUGGCUUGCUAACUCCAGUCCUGGAAGAUGGAUCCAGUCCCAGCAGGGGCACAAAGCAGCAUUGGUGUGGUGCUUCUUGUUUCUCUUCCUCUCUGUUACUGGAAGAAGCAUCUUGAAUGCAGUCCCACAGCUCUCUGAAAUUCCUCAUGCAAAAACUAUGGGGAAGUUCAUCUUGGUUGUGCAGAAAUACUGUACAUGUGAUCCUUUAUGGUUAACCAAGGAAGGGGACGUGGGCACUCCCAAAUAUAGAAUUACAAAGAAACAGGACAGGACGGGACGGGACAGAAUGGGACAGGAUAGGAUAGUUGGACGGGACUUAGAAAGAUCAUUGAGUCCAACUGCCUGACCAAGAGACACAGCUGUUGUUCCAUGACAACUUUUUUUCCCUUUGUGUGGGCUGUUUUUCAUUUGUUGUCUGCUGCCAACUCAGAGCAGGUUUCUGUGGGUUUGUUAUUGAACAAGGUUGUUGUGGUGUGCCAUGUGCAUGCUUCUGUGUCUUUCCUCUGAAGUUCACAUAACUUUUAUUAAAACCUUGUUCAUCAGAAUUAACUAGGGUUUUAUAAACAGCCUACUUUUAUAAGAAAACUAACUUUAUACUUAUUUUCAUAGUCUCUAAAAACAUUGCUCAGUAAUACAGAAUUUCUCCUUCACCAGUCUUUUGAAAGAGCAAUAGAAUUAAUGCUCUUUCUGUGUCCAUUGAGAGAGGCAGACACUCCUAAUUAAUUACACUUUUUAGCCACUUGUGCACAAUUAUUUUGAAGUUUUUCAGUAACAUUAUUUAUUGAAUACUUUGAUUAUUAGCUUAGCUCACAGAAGAGAAAAUUUAAAGUUCUUUCUAAAAGUCUUGCAGUUGCUACGCUUCUGCUAUGUGUGGGAGAAUUUCAAUUCAGUUAUUUAAUAAGUAAACUAAUUGCUCUAGAUGAAAUAAAUGGAACAUUUAUGACUUGUCAGAUAGAAUGAAAGCAAAGGAAAUCAAGCCCUUUUUAUAGUCAUGAUUUCAGCUAUUACUACAGGUUUCAUUGAUACUAAGAACACUCUUAGAGUAAGCUUGGCCUAAGCAACUUUAUCAGUUAUGCUGUGAAUCAAGAGCAGAUCUACAGAGAAAGCUGGAGAAACACUGGAAUUUUGCUGCUUGAGUGGAAUAGCUGUAAAAGACAAAUAACAAGUUACAUAAAACACAAUACCCCGUUUCAGCUAUCUGAAUUGACAAAGAUCUUCUACAGAGCCACUUGCUAAAACUUUUUGUACUUGGCACUCAAAGAUGCCCAUUUUCUGCUGGUGCUGGGCAGUGACUACUGCCAUGAAUUUUAAAGAGAUUGGUCAAUAUCAGUUUUUUCAAUGAUCUGCUUUAGGAGACAGGGACUGAGAACUAGCUCUCUGAGAGCAAGAGACCAUGCUGCAGUGCAGCCCCCUGAAGGAAAGGGCAGAAGAUCCAGGCAAGGCUUCUCCAAGACAUUUCUUACUUGGCUCUUCCUUGCAGCUGAGCUGUUUUCCCAGAAGCCUGAGUGGCUGAGAUGUGGACACCAGCUCCAACUCCAAGCAAGGACAGCUGUUGGCAUGGGAGAAACUGCAGAAUUGCUGGAAUGUAGCAUUUCCAUCAAAUGGGACAUUUACUGGCAUGGACAGAUCAUAGCAUAAAAAUGUGGAGGGAAUAUAUAAAACAUAGCAUAACAUUUCUUAAGAACGACUGGGAAGUAUUUCUGCCAACUGGCAACUAAACUUGACUUUAAUUCUCUUUCACAUUGUGUUCUGAGACUAAUGAUGAAGAGACAUCAACAAUUAAGGUCAUUUGUAUGUGGUGUUAGCAUUACUGGUUCCAUAGCAUACAAAAACUGUUUGCAAACAUGAUAUAACUCUUGCAGUUGUAUUUUUUGGAGUGACAUACAGUAAAAGGGACAUCAUUAGCAACUACCAUUGAAUUUAGCUCAGUUAAACUGUUUGCAAAAUGAAAUUUCACUCUGCAAGUCGCAAGACUGAAAACUGUCUUCUCUGCUGUCUGUGACAUUUCACCUUCUCCAGCCCAACCCUUGGCAUUGGCAUGGCCCUUCCUAAUUCAGUAUCUUGCUCUUGAAGCCUGUGGCACAUUUAUGUCACCUUUGGCUCUCCAAGAACUGAGAAGGAAGGUGAAGAGCAGAUCAGAGGGUGUCAUUUCACAAAUUCAGUGCUAAUUCAUGCUGGUUGAGGCACUGAAGCAUUCUUGAUCUCCCAGUCACGAACAUUCAUGAGGUAAUCUCUGCAUGAAAGAGCUGCACAACAUCUUUUGGAUCCCAGUCAUGCUGUAAAAGGUUGCAUACCUUUUUAAACUUUUUUUAAUGCUUAGAGAUCAAGAGACAGAAACUGAUUAUCUAACCUUCUCUAGAGUGCUCAUGUAUCUAGAAAUUGCAGACUUUCAUUGGAGCUAUGUUGUAUUCAGCAAGCAAUGAACUUCUACAAAAA